AUUUCUGAUCUUCUGUAAAUUAAUUACUAAUUGUUUUCAGUAGCACCCAUAUGUGACAAGCAUGAUCAGGAGCCUGAGUCAAUUAUGAGAUCACUCUGAGUUUACACCAAAUGCAACAAGAGUGAGGGAACAGCUGCCACUAGGUUUUCUCAUGUGAGGUGAAAAUGUUUUGAAGCUGCUUUAUGUCCCCAGUGGUUUCAGAGAAAAAUCCACAACAGAGAAGAGAAAAAAAAACGAAACGUGUUUAAAUCACCUCAGUGAUGAGACAGAUCUUUAUAACACUGAGAACCAGCUACAGGGAAGUCAAGCCAUAAAUACUGUUGCACUAGACCAACUGUAAACAGGCUCACUUCAUUCCUUGCAAUCCAGAGAGGUUUCUGGGGGUAAACAAUACAAGAAGAUGGAAUGACAUUGAGGCAUUUACUAGAGGAAAGUUAAGCGUAUGAAAAGCAUGACACAUCAAAGAAGUAGUGAUGGAACAGUCAAACAAGGCUGCUGUAACAAGCACUGAGAAAAAGAUGCAGAGAAAGCUUUUGGCCUAAGUACAGAUGAGCAAAGUUUUCUAUUCCAUCAGCUUGUUUUUUUUUGUUGUUUAACUUUUGUCAGUGCAAUUUAGUGAUAUUCUCUGAAUAUAACUUCAGUUAUAUUAUUUGAAAAUUAAUAAAACUGUGUCAAAGCUGACUGCUUUAAUACA
rnacentral:lncRNA from 1 species